AUGCAUUCCGUGGCCUUUUUAUAUGGAAAUGGACCUUCAAAGUGUUACAUCAACUGUUUCUCUACUUGCCAAAAUAAUCCAUGCCUUCUAUCCACCCUUAAACAAUUCCCUUUCCGAGCUUCUUUUUCUGGACUUGUAACAGAAGAUAACACCCAAAGAAUUUUAGAAACUAAUGAAUGCUCUUUUCUUCUUCUGAAAUUACAGCUAAGCAUUAUUGAUUAUCAUCAUUAUCAUACAUCAACUUUGGCUUAUCUGACGCCUAACACAUUAAUGUUAUUUCUAGUAUGUUCGCGUAAAUCAGAAACUUGGUUUUCUAGCUAA
rnacentral:rRNA from 1 species